UUGGAGGGCAAGUCUGGUGCCAGCAGCCGCGGUAAUUCCAGCUCCAAUAGCGUAUAUUAAAGUUGUUGCAGUUAAAAAGCUCGUAGUUGAGUUUCGGGAUCAAUGUUUCGGUCAUGCCGUUGGUAUGUACUGAUAUUAUUGGUUUCUCACCUUCUAAAGAACCGUAAUGCCAUUAAUUUGGUGUCACGGGGAAUUAGGACUGUUACCUUGAAAAAAUUAGAGUGUUUAAAGCAGGCUCACGCUUGAAUACAUUAGCAUGGAAUAAUGAAAUAGGACAUCCGAUUCUAUUUUGUUGGUUUCUAGGAUCGAUGUAAUGAUUAAUAGGGAUAGUUGGGGGCAUUAGUAUUCAAUUGUCAGAGGUGAAAUUCUUGGAUUUAUUGAAGACUAACUACUGCGAAAGCAUUUGCCAAGGAUGUUUUCAUUAAUCAAGAACGAAAGUUAGGGGAUCGAAGACGAUCAGAUACCGUCGUAGUCUUAACCAUAAACUAUGCCGACUAGGGAUCGGAUGAUGUUAAUUUUUUAAUGACUCAUUCGGCGCCUUACGGGAAAC
rnacentral:rRNA from 1 species